rnacentral:lncRNA from 1 species
CCUCUUCUUCUGAUCGGCAUCUUAUUCCUGUGGCCUUUGUGUCUGAGAAAUGGUUUGAAAUCUCCUGCUGACUGGCCGAAGCCUGUUUUACUUCCUGGGCAGGGCAGACGCCGUCUGGCUGUUUCCUGGAUUCCAUUGGUGAACCUGUAAAAAAAAAAUUAAAAAAAUAAUGGGUUACCUGUACCUACCAUUUCUGUUUACCAGUAGGAGACUCACAGAGCAGCGUUCUAUGGGCCAAAUAUAUUUUUAUAAAGAUGAACACGCCUGUAGGGAACUGCGUUUUUCCAAGAGGUUUUUUGGAGAAGAGAAGAGCGUGUGAGCAAAGAAUCCCACGAUGGGAGAGGAAGCCGAGAAGAGCUGGAAGGAGCAGGGCUGAGCAGCUGGAGCUUGGGAUAUGGACUACGAUUCUGAACCUGUGCCAAUAAUACCAUUAUGUGCCAUGUACUGAUGCAAAAGACUUCGUGAGAAGCAGAAGCUAAGUCAGUAACACGCAGAAAUGCUACCGAGGACAGGGGAGGGGCGUCUCUUCCAAUGGGGUCAUUGAUUCCACAUGCAUACAUACAUAUGAUAUAUAUACAGAGAAAAUAUAUACACACACAAAACACUUUUUUUUGUACUGUAGCAAUUUUUGAAGAUCUUAAAUACUCAUUUUUAAAGAAAACGUCACGGGCUAAAAGUCUGAUUUCUUUAACAUGCAUAAUAUGACCUAAAGUUAAAGCGAUGUUUUCUACUUGGGCAGCUUGCCUUUCCAACCUAGCUGUGUAUAUAUAGAUAGACAUAUACAUAUAUAUAUGUGUGUGUGUAUGUAUAAGCAUAUAUAUGUAUGUAUACAUAUAUAGAUAGUUUUAUUUUUCAUUCUGGAGAUGCAUUUCCAGCAGUGGGUGCGUGGUGGGGCCGCGCUGGCAGUGGGUGCUCGUGCCGUGCGGCCCCGAUGCGAUGGGCUUGGAGAGCUUUGAGAGCGGGUCUGGAGCAAGAGCAGAAUGGAAAAGGGGUUUUCCAGCUGUUUGCAGCCUGAGCAUUGUGGGGAUGGCACCCGCAGGGGACAAAGUCAGGGUGCAGAGGGGUCUGCUGGCGUCCCAUCAUGAGAUGCUUCCCGCUGUGCUGCUUCAGAGCGCCGAGGGCAGCAGAGUUCAGACCAAAGUCCUCCGGUUCUUUUUGUAACCCACCCUCCUGAGUGUGUGAACGGCUUUUUAGAGUUAUCCGGACACGCGUUCCCAUCAUCUGCUCAAUCCUCAGCUCCAUUUCUUUAUUCUCAGUGUGUCAUUCCAAGAAGAGGCAACUCGGCCCUUCCGGCUCUGCGCAUCACCACGCAUGCAGCUCCGUAGCAUUCUCCGUCCUUUUCUGAUGGGGUUCUGGAGCCUGGAGCAUUUUCCCCCACCUUAUGGGAGCUGCCCCAAGUAGAAGUCUUCCAUGCCAGAGGUGGAUGUGAACUGAACAUCCAUCCCCAGGGGCACUGGCAGUGUUCCCUGUGGCUCUGGGGCAGCUGAGCAGCCUGCGGAGCUGGACGCAGGGAUACGUUGGGUCCGGAGGGUUUUGUUCCAUGGCAGAGCUGGCUCCUUUUGCAGCAGGGUCUCUGCUGGGUUUCCUGCCCCAGGCCUUUGUGUGUUGCUGAUGUGAGCGGUGCAGCCCAUGCCGAUGAUCCUCGCUAUCGCAAUCGCUUCUAUUUUCCUUCUCUGUCUCACUUCUCUGGCUCCGAUCCACCCCAGCUCUGCCAUCGUGUUGUGCUUUACCCAUUGAUCUUCCUAUUUAUUUGUAUCUACUGGCUGCACCGAGUCCUUCCCGUGGGUAUUCAAUGUAAUCUUGAUAGCAGUUUGACAUCAUGAGAUAUAUCUGAGUCCCUCGUUCCUGGCACCGGGAGCAUUGUGGCAAGCUCCUUCCCUUAGGGAGCUGCUGACUGGAGCUUGGUCUGGUGGAGCCAUGGGGAAGACGACGUGUCUGCGUGUCUGUAUGUCAGGGAGCACAGUCAGACAGCUCCAACCCCAGGCAGGGCUCCAUUGCCACGAGCUUCCCCCACUCUGCAGAAGGCCUGGCCACCCCGAGGCUGCUGAGCGCUGAGCCAGGAGAAACAUAGAUGCACAAUCUUCCCUUAUUUAUAAGGACCAACAGCACUUGCACUUUAUCAGAGAAAUCCUCACAUCCCUAUGCAUGCCAAGCACACCGAGAAAAGGAACAACUGCCAGUAGGAAGGAAAGGAAGGGAGGGAGGAGCGGAGCUGUGAAUGUGGUGGUUUACCAGGCAGGACUCAGCAUCCUGGUGCUGUUUUGUAGUAAAUAGAAAUGAAACCAUGUUUCUUUUCCCUGCUAUUGAUGAGAACCAAAACAAAAACCCCAGAAAACCAUGGCAUGAAAACAUGGAGCUGUGUGUUCCCAGGGAGGUGGUGGAGUCUCCAUCCCUGGAGAUGCUCAAGAAAUACAGAGAUGUGGCACUUGGGGACGUGGUUUCGUGGACCUGGUAGCGGUGGGUUGGGGUUGGGCUUGAGGAUCUUAGAGGUCUUUUCCAACCUGAGUGCUUCUUUGAUUAUAUGAUUCCGUGUUAGUGGAAUAGACCUGUUGGGAGACUUAUUACAUGAGAGAAGAGCAAGAAGUGCAGUGUUUGCAGGCACCUUCUGAUGAGCUGUGCCACGCCGCGGCCGCCCCAACCCACUGCUGUCUGCUGCAGCAACAGAUGACCGCUCUGCAUGGAUGCCUUCAGCCCUUUGCAGGCAACAGCUCUGCCCCGAGCUGGUGGUCAUUGCUCCAACUUCCACUGAUGUGAGCCGGCCCAAAGCUCAUUCAUCGAUAAGGGGAGGCUCUGCAGAUGCUGCUGCUGCCGCCGGGUGCUUGGAUGUGCUGGAACUGCUUGCCCGAGCAGCGGGGCUGGCUGCUUUGCAAGGGCAUGUGCACGUUUGGAGAAUUAGGCCUUGAGAAGGGAUUUUUCUUUUGUCAUUCAGCAUGUGAGCCUGCUUCCCAGCCAAACAGCAGCGCACAGGCAGUGGGAAGCGCUGCACUUUUCCAUGCUGGGUGGUCGGAGCGCCGGGGCCACGCCAUGCUGUGCUGUCAGGUCGUGCUUGUUGCAAGUGAGCUGGCAGCUCAGAGGAAGAGUUGGGAUGUUCGCUCUGCCAUAAGCUUCCAGCCAACUUCUUUUCAGUUCAUCUGUUGGGUUUCUUUCUCCCUUAGUGGUUCUCAAGAAAUAUAGCCCAGCUGCCAGAUCCCCAGACGCGUAGCGGUGCAUUUGUGUUUCGCUGUGGCUCUGCCCCAUUGCAGGGGAUGGGAACGAGCCCCUUCCCUGUGCUCCUGUGGGGGCUGAGGGGCCGGGUACCCAGGUGGCUGCCCAUAUCUCAACACCCAAUCGUUUACCUUCAUUCUGUCUUCCCAGCGAGAGAAAUGGGCAUCCUACUGCGGGUUUCAUGGGAGCACGGCUGGGAAGGAGCGCUCCCACUGCAUUCUUGUGACUCCAAUUCAUUUCCAGCGUAGGUAGGAAUGCAGAGCAGUGACAGCGAAACAGGCGUAGCAAUGGCAAGAGCGCUGCACAGAUGGAUUUCAGGUUACCUCUUCUCCAUUGGCAGCUUGUUACAAAGGAAAGGUAAUUCAGCUAAAAUGGUAGUUAAAUAGUAGAUAUUCUACACAUAUUAUAUAUUUUGUAAAAAAAAUAAAAUAGAAUAAAAAUAUAUAUAGAAUAACUCAGCCCACCCAUUCCAGGAUGACCGCGGUUGGAAUUUUUCAUUCAACCAGCUAUAAAAUCUGUGCGUGAGUUUUUCAAAACCAGCAAGAAAUUCCUCUCCAUCUCAGACACCUGUGGGUCCUCUGCGCCCUGCAGGUCUCACCCAACGCUCGUCACGCAUUUUUAAGGAUUAUUCUCAGCAUUUGUAGGGUACAUUUUUAAACAGCGUCGUGAGUGGAGAUAUUUCCUUUGAGAAAAAGUAUACGUUGCACAAAAAUGUACACCAAGGGCACAGAUUUCUGACCCAGAUUCUUCUAUUUUAGGUUCCGAGGGGUUUAUUUUUUUGUUUGAUAAGGACAUGUACAGUGAAGUUUACAGUUUAUUUUUAUUUUGCCAAAAAACAAAAAAAAAACACAAAAAACCCACACAUUUUCUAACAUGAGACAGCUUUUACUUUGUAACCGGUUUUACAUCACUGAGUAUUUCUUUGUUUCUUUACUGGGAAAGUUCCGUAAUGUGAGGCAUCGAUGCGCGGCGGUGCAUCCGCGGGGACACGGCCUGGGGCACACGGCCCAGCACUGCUUAUGUGUGCAUAGGCUGCAGCUGAUGGAUGGACAGAUGGACAGACAGGCAGACAAACGGACAGGCAGACAGACAGAUGGAUGAAUAGGCAGAUGGACAGGCAGACAGAUGGAGCAGUGGAUGGACAGGCAGAUGGACGGGCAGACAGAUGGAUAGACAUGUGGACAGGCAGUCAAAGAGAUAGACAGAUAGGCAGACAGAUGGACCGGUGGACAAACAGGCAGACAAACAGACAGACAGACAGAUGGACCGAUGGACAGACAGGCAGACGGACAGUUGGACAAAUAGGCAGGCAGACAGGCAGAUGGACAGAUAUGUGGACAGGCAGACAAACAGA